rnacentral:ncRNA from 1 species
UGAUAGAGGCGCGGUUGACAUCAGUAAUUGAUUAAAGCUUGGGAAGCUCAAUGAAAGGGGAGACCGCCGAGGAUUUAAAAUCAUUCCCAAAUAGAUUUUAGAUUCGGGCCAUUUAGAUAAUAUCUAAUGGACUGUCGCAAGAAUUUGCGGAGAGCUAUC